GAUGCUGCAAGAAACCGAAGGGAGGACCGGUUCUGUUCAUUCAACAAACGUUCAUUGAGCUUGAGCUCUGCUGGGCGCCAUGCUUAGGCACUGGGCUAUGGUGGCUCAGGGUCUGAACCCUGCCCUCACCCGUUAUUGUUAGUUAGGGUAGGAUGGCCUUGCGCCCCGGGUCACGUCUGUGGAACCAGUGUAAUGAUUAAAAAGUGUUCCAGUAUGGGGGGGAAGGCUAGUUAAGGAACUUUGUCCCCCAAUUCAGGGAAGGCUCCCAGCGUGCAGGGAAUGAAGACCAACUAUUGUCUGAUCACUCUGCAACAGGCACUUUUUUGGGCCCUUUGUAUUCUCUGUAAUCUUUGCCCCUCGUUCUGCAAGGUGUGCAAACAGCUCCAGAACCAUCACUGGCCUGGGAUAUCCUGGACUGAUUUCAUAUACCAGGUAGAAGAUUGGAGUUGACAACAUUGAGGUACCUCCUGGCUGGGAGAUUCUGUGAGCUUUGGCUGGGCGAGCACACAUGUGGGAAAUAUGACUCUAUGUGUGGGAAGGGGGUCCAUGGCCCAGGCCUGCAUUGGCAUCCAUUUCCUCAGAGGAUGCCAGAGAUGCCAUCAGAUGGCCCAGGGGCAUGAGGCCCAGGUGAGGCACUUCAGCUGCCUGGGGUCCCUCCCCCAGCCCCACCCUCAAAGGCCCUGGAGCCCAGGCCUGUGCUGACUGCCAGGGCCUUUCCUGGAACUCAGCAGAGGACGGAGCCCCUCCCUGCCAGCCCUGGCACACGCCAGGCACAGCGUGUCCCCUGGGGCACCUUGCAGACACCCCAGGAGGCUGGGGUGUGGGACAGGUCUCCACCUCCAGGAAGAGUCCUGCUCUGGGCUGCCAUCUGAGCUCCCUGCCCCGGGCUGUCAUCCUCACCAAGGCCCUACCAGACCACAGGGGACAGCAGGCACAGCAGAGGAAGGAGAAGCUUUGUGGCUGGGUGGCAGGAUUCAUGGGUCUUUGUUGUGGCUUUGGGUGGGAGGGUGGGGAAGGCAGAAAAGCAGGGUCUCAGGCUUCAAAGCACCUCCCCACCUGCUUCUCCCUCCCUCUGAGGAAAUCUUCAGGGGCCUCGUGGUUUUGAGGGGAGGGGACAGGAAGAGACUCUAAACUCUGGGUCAGCCAAGGACAGAGGUGGAGGAGAUCUUCUUGCCCUAUAUCCCAUUUUCUCUCAGCAUCCUCUUCCUGUGCUCCCCGCCACCCUAGAAGAAAUUUCUACCUCCAUCUGCCGCUAUGAGUUACACCCCCCCACACCAAGACCUCCAGGGGCCUCCAAGAGUGGUGGGCUUUGGGGAAAACGGGCCUUGUACACAGAAGCUGCAGGCCGGGCCACACCUGCCCAGGGGGGCAGGAGGAGAGCUCCCCUCCCAGAUGGGCCGAGGCUGCUCAGCUCGGGCUGGGGGGCCGAUCGACGCUGGAACGCAGGGGCGAGAAGGCAGAGGGAUGCUCACAGGGGCCACGUAGAGGUCCCGCGCGGCAGGCAGGGGCAGGCAGGGGCGGGAGCCGGGGAGCCGGCGGUACGCCCGCACCCCCCCCCCUCCUCCUCCCCCGGGCUCGAGGGAGCCUCCGAGAGUCGGGUCGUCGCUGACCGCAGGCUGCAAGAGCGGUUGAUCUGGUGAGCGAGCACACCCACUUACCCAGCUGCUGAGUCAGGCUGUUCUCGCUCCCCGCUCGCCCGCCCGCUCGGGACAUUGUGUUCCAGCCCCGGCGCGCUGGCACCGGGCCCAGGCGCUCACACCAGCCUCCUCGCCCUGUUUGUGCUCGCGGCUUGCGCUCGGCGCGCAGCCUCCCCGCCGCCGCAGCCCUGCGAGUGCGCGCUGGGGCCCGGCCAGGGGCGGCCGGGGGGCUGGUGCGGAGCCCCGGCGACGCGCCCCCGGCCCGCGAGGCCCCGCAGCCCAGCCCGGGCGCCAGCCUUACGUACAGCACCCAGACCUCUCCAGCCCCCACCUGAGCCCUGCUGUGGAAGCCCGGGCGCGCGUGGGGCCCGAGCGGCACACUUGGGGGGGGGGGCAGGUGUCGGUAGCUCCUCGAGGGAGAAGGAGCCGCCCAGGCUGCCGCCCAAGCCCCGCUAGCGCUCGGUCCAGUCUGGAGGAGGAUAGCUUGGGAGCGCGCCAGCCCCACACUUGGAAGACCUGGGAUGCAGUCACGUGACAACGGAAGCCCGCUGGAGGGGGGCCGAUUCAAGCGAUCCCCCCACCCCCACCCCACCCCCGCCACGAGGAGCCUCCUCCUCCUCGUGCCUCGGACCCUCUUCCCCGUCCGCUCUUCGCACCAGCCUGGAGACUCCAGGGAUUCCCAAGGGCUGGCAAACCAAACCCAGCCCUUUGGGAGAGCUUGGGAAACCCCUGGCAGGACGCCGGCAGUACGAAGAGCCCGGGAGCAGACGGCAGGGUGGAGAAGACGACCCCGAACUGGAACGUGACCCCUCCCUUUGUUCCAGCCCCAAACCCGGAUUUAUUCAGAGCCACGUUUUCUCUUUACCCAUCCAUCUACAGAAAGACGUCAUUGAGUGCAGUUCCUGAAGGUUCCACCGUCUCCAAACCAAGGAGGGGACAAAGGACUGACAUACUGAGCAUACCAUAUGGAAGGCUCUGUUGGGUCGUGCUAACGAUGUCAGUAGAAAGUUGAAGACACAAUUCCUAAAGUCCUUUCGUCUCCCACCUUCCAACCUCCGCAGUGUGCUGUGCCAUUUCUGCUGCCAGGGGUGCCCAUGCUCCGAGGCUACCCAUCUCUUCAGCUCCAGCUCAGAAAGCCCGCUUGAAACAGCGCCAGCCAAAUCUGAUUCCUCUCCCCUCCCAAUGCCCGGCACAGUCAGUCUGUACCUUUCUCACGGCACAGCGUGUGGCCUGUCUCGUAUUCUAGUGAUCUGUUUACUAAUCCUGUGCUUCUAACCAGAUUAAAAAGUCCUUGAGGCGGAAACAAAGUCUGCCUCUUUGAGCCCCCUCCCCCCCCCCCCCAACACUUGAGCUCAUCCCCCACAGGCCAAGUUUGGCACUGGAGUUGAUGUUCAGUAAAUGUUGGGUGUAUUGAAAUGAUUUCCUGCCCUUGGGCAGUUUGCAGACCAGUUGAAGAGACAAACACACAGCUCGUGAGGUUAAAUAAUAACCCAAGCCAGCAGGUGAUAUCCAUCAUGGACAUUCUCUGUCCCAAAUCGUGACUUUGAGCCCCGUCUCUGCCACGUACUACCAGCGGGAUCCUAGGACAAGCACUUCAUCACCAUAAGCCUCAGUUUCAUCAUCUGUAAACAGGCAGAGGAAAUUCCUCGCCACUGGACCGCACCCGCCCUUGAGGACCUCCCCAUCUCUUUGGGCAGAGCAGAAGCCAGACAGAGCAGGGGACUGUGAAGUGACAAUCCUCAGCCCUGUGUGUGCCAGGAGCCCCCGAGGGGCAGGCACCACACUGCAGGCGGGCAGGGGCCGCAGAGGAGCGUGGUGUGGGCUGCUGGGACAGAGCUCCUCUCAGAGGAGGUGGGGACCCCGUGGAGUACGUGACUUGUGCCCUUCCAGGCUGCACGCUCCAGUUAGCAGGACAGAGACCCCUCCCCACCCAUCUCCAACCUUCCCAGGCUUCCUGCUCUGCUGGGAGGCCCUGUCACCACACACACACAUACUCUCUCUCUCUCUCUCUCUUGCACUCACACCCCCCUCCCAGGCACCCCUGAGACGACCAGCUGCAGCUGGGAGGUGGGGGUGGGGAGAGUACUGCCAGGGUUCUCAGAUCCCUAGCCUCCCUCUCCCACCCCUCCCUCGCCCCCAACUGCUGAGCUGCUUCUAGGUUUAAAGCAAAACAUGAAUCUGUCCUUCCUGCUGUUCAGUGGCAGCAGCCCUGCCUGGAAUUAUUUUUAGCAUGGAUGCAGGGAAGGCACAGUUCUCCUUGACUUUCACUGGGGACAUCCCCCACCCCCCCAGCCAAGACUUGGCGGGGGGGGGGGGAGGUCAGUACGGAAACCCCCCUCCCAGAAAGGGGAAAUGGGUGUGUUUUCUGUUCCUUCAGCUCACUAGAACAGGAGUUGUAGUCAAGCUUGGGGUUGUGCUGAUGGGAAAUUCUAGGUUCCAAAGCCCAUGGGUUCCACCCCACCUCUGUCUGUGUCCCCCUAAGUCUGAGAAGCAGGAAGUGCAUGGUGUCUGCAGCCGAGAUGCCCAAUCUGUGGGUGUUGGGGUCCAAGGGGAGCCACUUGGUUACACCCAACACUGUGGACUAACGACAUAGGGACACCUAUGGGUGCAGGGUGUGGUGUUUACAUGGGUGCUUGCUUUAUAAUUGAUUAAACUGAGCAUGUCUAUUCUAUA